rnacentral:rRNA from 1 species
GACGAACGCUGGCGGCGUGCCUAAUACAUGCAAGUCGAACGCAUUUUCUUUCACCGUAGCUUGCUACACCGAAAGAAAAUGAGUGGCGAGCGGGUGAGUAACACGUGGGUAACCUGCCCAUCAGCGGGGGAUAACACUUGGAAACAGGUGCUAAUACCGCAUAAUUCCAUUUACCGCAUGGUAGAUGGAUGAAAGGCGCUUUUGCGUCACUGAUGGAUGGACCCGCGGUGCAUUAGCUAGUUGGUGGGGUAACGGCCUACCAAGGCUGCGAUGCAUAGCCGACCUGAGAGGGUGAUCGGCCACACUGGGACUGAGACACGGCCCAGACUCCUACGGGAGGCAGCAGUAGGGAAUCUUCGGCAAUGGACGCAAGUCUGACCGAGCAACGCCGCGUGAGUGAAGAAGGUUUUCGGAUCGUAAAACUCUGUUGUUAGAGAAGAACAAGGAUGAGAGUGGAAAGUUCAUCCCUUGACGGUAUCUAACCAGAAAGCCACGGCUAACUACGUG